rnacentral:rRNA from 1 species
UACACAUGCAAGUCGAGCGGUAGCACAGAGAGCUUGCUCUCGGGUGACGAGCGGCGGACGGGUGAGUAAUGUCUGGGAAACUGCCUGAUGGAGGGGGAUAACUACUGGAAACGGUAGCUAAUACCGCAUAACGUCGCAAGACCAAAGUGGGGGACCUUCGGGCCUCAUGCCAUCAGAUGUGCCCAGAUGGGAUUAGCUAGUAGGUGGGGUAACGGCUCACCUAGGCGACGAUCCCUAGCUGGUCUGAGAGGAUGACCAGCCACACUGGAACUGAGACACGGUCCAGACUCCUACGGGAGGCAGCAGUGGGGAAUAUUGCACAAUGGGCGCAAGCCUGAUGCAGCCAUGCCGCGUGUAUGAAGAAGGCCUUCGGGUUGUAAAGUACUUUCAGCGGGGAGGAAGGCGAUAAGGUUAAUAACCUUGUCGAUUGACGUUACCCGCAGAAGAAGCACCGGCUAACUCCGUGCCAGCAGCCGCGGUAAUACGGAGGGUGCAAGCGUUAAUCGGAAUUACUGGGCGUAAAGCGCACGCAGGCGGUCUGUCAAGUCGGAUGUGAAAUCCCCGGGCUCAACCUGGGAACUGCAUUCGAAACUGGCAGGCUAGAGUCUUGUAGAGGGGGGUAGAAUUCCAGGUGUAGCGGUGAAAUGCGUAGAGAUCUGGAGGAAUACCGGUGGCGAAGGCGGCCCCCUGGACAAAGACUGACGCUCAGGUGCGAAAGCGUGGGGAGCAAACAGGAUUAGAUACCCUGGUAGUCCACGCCGUAAACGAUGUCGAUUUGGAGGUUGUGCCCUUGAGGCGUGGCUUCCGGAGCUAACGCGUUAAAUCGACCGCCUGGGGAGUACGGCCGCAAGGUUAAAACUCAAAUGAAUUGACGGGGGCCCGCACAAGCGGUGGAGCAUGUGGUUUAAUUCGAUGCAACGCGAAGAACCUUACCUGGUCUUGACAUCCACAGAACUUAGCAGAGAUGCUUUGGUGCCUUCGGGAACUGUGAGACAGGUGCUGCAUGGCUGUCGUCAGCUCGUGUUGUGAAAUGUUGGGUUAAGUCCCGCAACGAGCGCAACCCUUAUCCUUUGUUGCCAGCGGUCCGGCCGGGAACUCAAAGGAGACUGCCAGUGAUAAACUGGAGGAAGGUGGGGAUGACGUCAAGUCAUCAUGGCCCUUACGACCAGGGCUACACACGUGCUACAAUGGCAUAUACAAAGAGAAGCGACCUCGCGAGAGCAAGCGGACCUCAUAAAGUAUGUCGUAGUCCGGAUUGGAGUCUGCAACUCGACUCCAUGAAGUCGGAAUCGCUAGUAAUCGUAGAUCAGAAUGCUACGGUGAAUACGUUCCCGGGCCUUGUACACACCGCCCGUCACACCAUGGGAGUGGGUUGCAAAAGAAGUAGGUAGCUUAACCUUCGGGAGGGCGCU